GCCCGAGUGGUGAAACGGCAAACACGCACGACUCAAAAUCGUGUGCCGAAAGGCUUGUGGGUUCAAUUCCCACCUCGGGCA
rnacentral:tRNA from 5 species